rnacentral:rRNA from 1 species
AUUGAACGCUGGCGGCAGGCCUAACACAUGCACGUCGAACGAGUGGCGGACGGGUGAGUAAUGUCUGGGAAACUGCCCGAUGGAGGGGGAUAACUACUGGAAACGGUAGCUAAUAACGCAUACCAUCGGAUGUGCCCAGAUGGGAUUAGCUAGUAGGUGGGGUAACGGCUCACCUAGGCGACGAUCCCUAGCUGGUCUGAGAGGAUGACCAGCAACACGGGAACGGAGACACGGUCCAGACUCCUACGGGAGGCAGCAGUGGGGAAUAUUGAACAAUGGGCUCAAGCCUGAUGCAGCCAUGCAGCGUGUAUGAAGAAGGCCUUCGGGUUGUAAAGUACUUUCAGCGAGGAGGCGUUACUCGCAGAAGAAGCACCGGCUAACUCCGUGCCAGCAGCCGCGGUAAUAC